CAAACAUAGAAACAGACAUACUAGAUUAAACAUAGAAUACCUGAAAACCAAAUAGUGCCCAAAAACCCCGGAAUACUUAAACCAAAUGCCCCUUCAACAAAACACACCACCCCGAACCACAUAAAACGAAUACCCUCUGCCACGUCCUGACCAAACUACAAUACUCAUUAACCUUUAUACUGGCCAGGACGUGACAGGUGUUUUAUUAUAGCCCCCCUUUGCCUGGUUCCAAUUCUCACCUGCAUAACCUGGAGAUUGGUGUUUCCAUUUUUUUGGCAGGGCGCAAAUUAUCUUGGCGUAGAAUCCCUUAAUGGAGAAGUGGGGAGUUCAGAAACCCUUGUCAGUGAAGAAGAGAGUCCAGAAUCCCCUCUCAGUGAAGUGGAGAGUCCAGAAUCCCUUCUCAGUAAAGGAGUGGAGGCUCCGGUUCUCAGGUCAUAUACUGUUGAAGAUACCGACGAGUUCUACAGCGAGUACGACUCGACAUUGGAUGAUCCUCCAAGCAAAGAAACUAGUUGUGAAAGAAGUCCAAAACAUUACACCGGUCCGUCAACAAGGCAACGAGUGUCUCCGGAAGGUGGUGAUUGACUCCGCUGUCCUGGCGUCGUGAGGGAGCUUGUUCCACCAUUGGGGUGCCAGAGCAGCGAACAGUUUUGACUGGGCUGAGCGGGAACUGUGCUUCCUCAGAGGUAGGGGGGCCAGC
rnacentral:lncRNA from 1 species